GAUGAACGCUAGCGGCAGGCUUAACACAUGCAAGUCGAGGGGUAUUGGUUUUCGGACCAAGAGACCGGCGCACGGGUGCGUAACGCGUAUGCAAUCUACCUUUUGCAGAGGGAUAGCCCAGAGAAAUUUGGAUUAAUACCUCAUAGUAUAGUACCUUGGCAUCAAGGAACUAUUAAAGUCACAACGGCAAAAGAUGAGCAUGCGUCCCAUUAGCUAGUUGGUAAGGUAACGGCUUACCAAGGCGACGAUGGGUAGGGGUCCUGAGAGGGAGAUCCCCCACACUGGUACUGAGACACGGACCAGACUCCUACGGGAGGCAGCAGUGAGGAAUAUUGGACAAUGGGCGCAAGCCUGAUCCAGCCAUGCCGCGUGCAGGAUGACGGUCCUAUGGAUUGUAAACUGCUUUUAUACGAGAAGAAACAACUCUAACGUGUAGAGUCUUGACGGUAUCGUAAGAAUAAGGAUCGGCUAACUCCGUGCCAGCAGCCGCGGUAAAACG
rnacentral:rRNA from 1 species